rnacentral:rRNA from 1 species
CAGCCGCCGCGGUAAUACCGGCGGCCCGAGUGGCGGUCACUAUUAUUGGGCUUAAAGCGUCCGUAGCCGGGUUGGGAAGUCCUCCGGGAAAUCUGGCCGCUUAACGGUCCGAAUGCCGGAGGAUACUCCCAGCCUAGGGAGCGGGAGAGGCCGAGGGGAUUCCCGGAGUAGGGGGGAAAUCCUAUAAUCCCGGGAGGACCACCUGGGGCGAAGGCGCUCGGCUGGAACGCGUCCGACGGUGAGGGACGAAGGCCAGGGGAGCAAACCGGAUUAGAUACCCGGGUAGUCCUGGCUGUAAACGAUGCGGACUUUGUGUCGGACAAGCUAUGAGCUUGUCCGGUGCCGGAGGGAAACCGUUAAGUCCGCCGCCUGGGGAGUACGGCCGCAAGGCUGAAACUUAAAGGAAUUGGCGGG